AGCCGACUCGCCGCAACGCUGCGCGCCUUGUUUCUACUGCAUCGCAUACAGAAUCGCUCGCCGAAUUCCGUUUCGUAUAAUACGCAUGUGAAACGGGAAAGAUCGCACCUGUAUUAUCGAGAAUAAAUCUACGCCCGAUCGAAACGCACAUUCGUCAGAACGUUCGAUUAUAAGUCCGACGACAGACGCGCGGUUUUAUUCACCGAUCGUUGGAACCACGAUCCAUGGAUCAUAGCUGUUGACCGUACAGACUAUACGUCUACCGGUUUUUGGAGCGUUCCGUGGUUAGUCCGGUUUGUGGGUGGCGGGCUCGUUGGAAGGAGAAGAACACGCCAUUCGGCACCGACUUCCAUCGCGGUUCCACAUCGGUAAUCGACAUCGGAAUCAACCACGAAAACUACCCUCAGAUCGAUCAACGUGAUCCUCGAAGUCACCGAACCACUUCUAUGACAGCUGCAACUUGCAGGUAAA
rnacentral:misc_RNA from 1 species